UGGGGAAUAUUGCACAAUGGGCGCAAGCCUGAUGCAGCAACGCCGCGUGAGGGACGACGGCCUUCGGGUUGUAAACCUCUUUUAGUAGGGAAGAAGCGAAAGUGACGGUACCUGCAGAAAAAGCACCGGCUAACUACGUGCCAGCAGCCGCGGUAAUACGUAGGGUGCGAGCGUUGUCCGGAAUUAUUGGGCGUAAAGAGCUCGUAGGCGGUCUGUCGCGUCUGCUGUGAAAACCCGAGGCUCAACCUCGGGCCUGCAGUGGGUACGGGCAGACUAGAGUGCGGUAGGGGAGAAUGGAAUUCCUGGUGUAGCGGUGGAAUGCGCAGAUAUCAGGAGGAACACCGAUGGCGAAGGCAGUUCUCUGGGCCGUAACUGACGCUGAGGAGCGAAAGCGUGGGGAGCGAACAGGAUUAGAUACCCUGGUAGUCCACGCCGUAAACGUUGGGCGCUAGAUGUGGGGACCAUUCCACGGUUUCCGUGUCGCAGCUAACGCAUUAAGCGCCCC
rnacentral:rRNA from 1 species